rnacentral:rRNA from 1 species
UACGUAGGGUGCGAGCGUUGUCCGGAAUUACUGGGCGUAAAGAGCUUGUAGGCGGUCUGUCGCGUCGAUUGUGAAAACUCACGGCUCAACCGUGAGCUUGCAGUCGAUACGGGCAGACUAGAGUACUGCAGGGGAGACUGGAAUUCCUGGUGUAGCGGUGAAAUGCGCAGAUAUCAGGAGGAACACCGGUGGCGAAGGCGGGUCUCUGGGCAGUAACUGACGCUGAGAAGCGAAAGCGUGGGUAGCGAACAGGAUUAGAUACCCUGGUAGUCCACGCCGUAAACGGUGGGUACUAGGUGUGGGUUUCCUUCCACGGGAUCCGUGCCGUAGCUAACGCAUUAAGUACCCCGCCUGGGGAGUACGGCCGCAAGGCUAAA